ensembl:miRNA
CCUCAGUAAGACCAAGCUUAGUGUGCCAUUUCCUUGUCUGUAGCCAUGUCUAUGGGCUCUUGAGUUGGCCAUCUGAGCGAGGGCCUGCUUAUCCUA